rnacentral:rRNA from 1 species
CCUACGGGUGGCAGCAGUGGGGAAUAUUGCACAAUGGGGGAAACCCUGAUGCAGCGACGCCGCGUGAGUGAAGAAGUAAUUCGUUAUGUAAAGCUCUAUCAGCAGGGAAGAAAAUGACGGUACCUGGAGAAAAAGCAUCGGCUAACUCCGUGCCAGCAGCCGCGGUAAUACGGAGGAUGCGAGCGUUAUCCGGAUUUAUUGGGUUUAAAGGGUGCGCAGGCGGCGUGUCAAGUCAGUGGUAAAAUGUCGGGGCUCAACCCCGGCCGGCCGUUGAAACUGGCGUGCUCGAGUUGGAGAGAAGUAUGCGGAAUUCGUGGUGUAGCGGUGAAAUGCAUAGAUAUCACGAAGAACCCCGAUUGCGAAGGCAGCAUACCGGCUCCACACUGACGCUGAGGCACGAAAGCGUGGGUAUCGAACAGGAUUAGAUACCCGAGUAGUC